ACGAACGCUGGCGGCCUGCCUAACACAUGCAAGUCGAACGAGACCUUCGGGUCUAGUGGCGCACGGGUGCGUAACGCGUGGGAACCUGCCCUUAGGUUCGGAAUAACUCCCCGCAAGGGGUGCUAAUACCGGAUAAUGUCUUCGGACCAAAGAUUUAUCGCCUUUGGAUGGGCCCGCGUUGGAUUAGCUAGUUGGUAGGGUAAAAGCCUACCAAGGCGACGAUCCAUAGCUGGUCUGAGAGGAUGAUCAGCCACACUGGGACUGAGACACGGCCCAGACUCCUACGGGAGGCAGCAGUAUAGAAUAUUGGACAAUGGGCGAAAGCCUGAUCCAGCAAUGCCGCGUGAGUGAUGAAGGCCUUAGGGUUGUAAAGCUCUUUUACCCGGGAUGAUAAUGACAGUACCGGGAGAAUAAGCUCCGGCUAACUCCGUG
rnacentral:rRNA from 1 species